UACGGAGGGGGCUAGCGUUAUUCGGGAUUACUGGGCGUAAAGCGCACGUAGGCGGAUCUGCAAGUCAGAGGUGAAAUCCCAGGGCUCAACCUUGGAACUGCCUUUGAAACUGCGGGUCUUGAGUUCGAGAGAGGUGAGUGGAAUUCCGAGUGUAGAGGUGAAAUUCGUAGAUCUUCGGAGGAACACCAGUGGCGCAGGCGGCUCACUGGCUCGAUACUGACGCUGCGGUGCGAAAGCGUGGGGAGCAAACAGG
rnacentral:rRNA from 1 species